rnacentral:rRNA from 1 species
UAGGGAAUCUUCCGCAAUGGGCGAAAGCUUGACGGAGCAACGCCGCGUGAGUGAUGAAGGUCUUCGGAUCGUAAAACUCUGUUAUUAGGGAAGAACAAAUGUGUAAGUAACUAUGCACGUCUUGACGGUACCUAAUCAGAAAGCCACGGCUAACUACGUGCCAGCAGCCGCGGUAAUACGUAGGUGGCAAGCGUUAUCCGGAAUUAUUGGGCGUAAAGCGCGCGUAGGCGGUUUUUUAAGUCUGAUGUGAAAGCCCACGGCUCAACCGUGGAGGGUCAUUGGAAACUGGAAAACUUGAGUGCAGAAGAGGAAAGUGGAAUUCCAUGUGUGGCAGUGAAAUGCGCAGAGAUAUGGAGGAACACCAGUGGCGAAGGCGACUUUCUGGUCUGUAACUGACGCUGAUGUGCGAAAGCGUGGGGAUCAAACAGG